rnacentral:piRNA from 1 species
UGACAGGUUUAUACCCUGAUACAGAUGAGA